rnacentral:rRNA from 1 species
UACGGAGGGCGCGAGCGUUACCCGGAUUUACUGGGCGUAAAGGGCGUGUAGGCGGCUUGGGGCGUCCCAUGUGAAAGGCCACGGCUCAACCGUGGAGGAGCGUGGGAUACGCUCAGGCUAGACGGUGGGAGAGGGUGGUGGAAUUCCCGGAGUAGCGGUGAAAUGCGCAGAUACCGGGAGGAACGCCGAUGGCGAAGGCAGCCACCUGGUCCACAUGUKACGCUGAGGCGCGAWAGGUGGGGAGCAAACCGGAUUAGAUACCCGGGUAGUCCACGCCCUAAACGAUGCGCGCUAGGUCUCUKGGUUAUCUGGGGGCCGAAGCCAACGCGUUAAGCGCGCCGCCUGGKGAGUACGGCCGCAAGGCUGAAACUCAAAGGAAUUGACGGGGGCCCGCACAAGCGGUGGAGCAUGUGGUUUAAUUCGAAGCAACGCGAAGAACCUUACCAGGCCUUGACAUGCUAGGGAACCUAGGUGAAAGCCUGGGGUGCCCCGCGAGGGGAGCCCUAGCACAGGUGCUGCAUGGCCGUCGUCAGCUCGUGUCGUGAGAUGUUGGGUUAAGUCCCGCAACGAGCGCA